CCUACGGGUGGCUGCAGUGGGGAAUAUUGGACAAUGGGCGAAAGCCUGAUCCAGCCAUGCCGCGUGUGUGAAGAAGGCCUUCGGGUUGUAAAGCACUUUCAGUGGGGAAGAAAGCCUUGGGGCUAAUACCCUCGAGGAAGGACAUCACCCACAGAAGAAGCACCGGCUAACUCCGUGCCAGCAGCCGCGGUAAUACGGAGGGUGCGAGCGUUAAUCGGAAUUACUGGGCGUAAAGCGCGCGUAGGCGGUCUGAUAAGCCGGUUGUGAAAGCCCCGGGCUCAACCUGGGAACGGCAUCCGGAACUGUCAGGCUAGAGUGCAGGAGAGGAAGGUAGAAUUCCCGGUGUAGCGGUGAAAUGCGUAGAGAUCGGGAGGAAUACCAGUGGCGAAGGCGGCCUUCUAGACUGACACUGACGCUGAGGUGCGAAAGCGUGGGUAGCAAACAGGAUUAGAUACCCGGGUAGUC
rnacentral:rRNA from 1 species